CAUAGGUUUCUUGUCGACUUAGUGAGGUGGAAGCCUGAACUGACAGAUGAGGAGCUUCUGUCUUUGUUCACAAGUUUUACGGCUGCAGGGGAGAAGUGCUGUGAAGCCCAGGAGCCUGAAGCCUGUUUAAGUAAAGAGCGUUCAAAAAUGGAUAACUAAAGUCAAGCUGCUUGAGAAACAAAGUUAAAACACCAGAGCCAGUACUGCCUUGCUGUGGUGAAUUUCAUCUCCUAAGAAGAAUGAAGUAGAAGGGCUCUUCUGUAGCCUUUACUGAAAUCAUGUCACUACAACAAGCAAUAAAACAAGAGUAUAAAGCUA